rnacentral:rRNA from 1 species
GGAUUAGAUACCCUGGUAGUCCGCACCGUAAACGAUGGACACUUGGUGUUGGAGGUAUUGACCCCUUCAGUGCCGAAGCUAACGCGUUAAGUGUCCCGCCUGGGAAGUACGGUCGCAAGAUUAAAACUCAAAGAAAUUGACGGGGGCCCGCACAAGCGGUGGAGCAUGUGGUUUAAUUCGAUGCAACGCGAAAAACCUUACCUGGGCUCGAAAUGUUAUGGAAUAAGGUAGAGAUAUCUUAGUUCUUCGGAACUGUAAUAUAGGUGCUGCAUGGCUGUCGUCAGCUCGUGCCG